UACAGAGGUCUCAAGCGUUGUUCGGAUUCAUUGGGCGUAAAGGGUGUGUAGGUGGCGCGCUAAGUCGGGUGUGAAAUUUCGGAGCUUAAACUCCGAAACUGCAUUCGAUAACUGGCGUGCUUGAGGACUGGAGAGGAGACUGGAAUUCAUGGUGUAGCAGUGAAAUGCGUAGAGAUCAUGAGGAAGACCAGUGGCGAAGGCGGGUC
rnacentral:rRNA from 1 species